rnacentral:snoRNA from 1 species
UUUCAUGAUGAAUCCCAGAUAGGGACAGCUUAUACCUAAUGGUAUUUGAUGAGACGCCCUGGGCUCGUAUUUUAGUAGAUGCUGAGUUUCUGAAC